UUUCCGCAGGUGAACCUGCGGAAGGAUCAGUAUUGUAUAACCGAGGUGCGAGGGCUGUCGCUGACCCGAAAGGUCGUGCACGCCCGAGUGCCCUCACACACAUCCAUCUCACCCCUAUGUGCACCACCGCGUGGGUCCCCCUUUGGCUUGUUCGGAGGGGGGCUUACGUUUUCACACAAACUUUGUAUGCAGUGUAGAAUGUAUUUUUUGUUUUUGCGAUCACGCAAUCAAUACAACUUUCAACAACGGAUCUCUUGGCUCUC
rnacentral:misc_RNA from 1 species